rnacentral:lncRNA from 1 species
CACACUAACAUUUAUCUGUCAUUUCAAAUUUAUUUCCCAUCUACACCUGAGUUUAUGCAAUAACUGCAUUUAUAAUAAAAUGACAAUGGCAGUACUUUAUUUAAUAUAAGUAUAAUAAGAAUGUACUAAAAAUUAAAUUAAUGCAUGGCCAGAAACUCAACUAAUACAUUACUGUGAUGCAUGACAUUCCAAAUUGUUCAUAUUUAUACGACAGUGAAUAAUGCAGCCAACCUUAUGCCAGCCAACUAUUCAUAGUAAAAUUUAAAUACAGGGAGCCAGGUUAUUAAUUUAGCAUUAAUUUAAAGGUGAUUUUGCCUUCUGUUUUUCAAUUUCACACCCUUCAAUACUUUAUUUUAUUCAACAUAUCUAUCUAUCUAUCUAU